GGGAACCGUUCAUGUCCACAACAACCUGGAUGACUCUCCGGAGAAUCACGCCGAGUUAGAAAAGCCGACCCCGAAAGGUUACAUACUAUGAGAGAACUGAGACAGAGAGGCUAUCACAACCCUAAGGGAGGAGCAGAGGCAGCGAGAUUCCAGCACUUGACUUGUUCCUCAUGCAGGGAGCCUUGGUCUCCAGGAGAGAGGCCUCCAGCAGCCCUCCUUCCCAGCUGAAGCCUUCACAGUCUACAGAGUAAUCUCACAGCCUGUCCCAUUUAAUACUUACAAAAGCCUGGGGAGACAGGUGUCUCUACCUUCAGCCUAUACACGAUGAGAGGCUCAGAGAACUGUACAUCUUGCCCAAGGAUGGAAAAGAAUAUGAGGGCAGAUAAAAGCUAACAUAUGUGACAGUGUAUUCUAUAAAAAUAAAUUCAGUUGUAAGCAAACAAAAGAAAUAUCCAGUUCAUAUCAGCUGAGGGAAGAGAAACAGGGAUUUAAUUUUUUUCCAUCAUAUGAAAUCAAGAAAUAACAACAGUAAUCCUGGCAUUGUCCCAUAACUUGACAGGGUCAGAGCUGGAGUUCUUACUGUUUCCUUGACUUUGUUAUCACGCACAUCACCUCAUUACUGCAAAAUGGCUGCUGAUCCUCCA
ensembl:lncRNA